CAAGACCUUGCGCUUUUGGAGCGGCCGAUGUCUGAUUAGCUAGUUGGUGAGGUAAAGGCUUACCAAGGCUUCGAUCAGUAGCUGGUCUGAGAGGACGACCAGCCACACUGGGACUGAGACACGGCCCAGACUCCUACGGGAGGCAGCAGUGGGGAAUUUUGGACAAUGGGGGAAACCCUGAUCCAGCCAUGCCGCGUGAGUGAAGAAGGCCUUCGGGUUGUAAAGCUCUUUCAGCCGGAACGAAAAGGUUACGGUUAAUACCCGUGACUAAUGACGGUACCGGAAGAAGAAGCACCGGCUAACUACGUGCCAGCAGCCGCGGUAAUACGUAGGGUGCAAGCGUUAAUCGGAAUUACUGGGCGUAAAGCGUGCGCAGGCGGUUUUGUAAGUCAGAUGUGAAAUCCCCGGGCUCAACCUGGGAACU
rnacentral:rRNA from 1 species